rnacentral:lncRNA from 1 species
AGCUGAACUUGGAAUCAAAAAGCACUGAGUUAAAGUCAUAUCUCUGGCACAAACAUCCUAGGAGUUCCAUGGUUGGAUCCAAGAUGGAGUGAACCAGAACUACUCCAUGUCAUCAUGAUAAUCCUCUCUGAACAAGAUUAAAAUAUCACCACCAAAUGAAUACAGGAGUGAAAGAACCAAUAAGGAGCCAGAGUGAAACAACUUUCAAGAAAAGAAAGAAACCCAAAAGAGACUACCCAUAAAGAAUAGGAAAAAUGAGCAAACAACAAAAAAG